rnacentral:rRNA from 1 species
GAUGAACGCUGCGGCGUGCCUAAUACAUGCAAGUCGAGCGAACAGACGAGGAGCUUGCUCCUCUGACGUUAGCGGCGGACGGGUGAGUAACACGUGGAUAACCUACCUAUAAGACUGGGAUAACUUCGGGAAACCGGAGCUAAUACCGGAUAAUAUAUUGAACCGCAUGGUUCAAUAGUGAAAGACGGUUUUGCUGUCACUUAUAGAUGGAUCCGCGCCGCAUUAGCUAGUUGGUAAGGUAACGGCUUACCAAGGCAACGAUGCGUAGCCGACCUGAGAGGGUGAUCGGCCACACUGGAACUGAGACACGGUCCAGACUCCUACGGGAGGCAGCAGUAGGGAAUCUUCCGCAAUGGGCGAAAGCCUGACGGAGCAACGCCGCGUGAGUGAUGAAGGUCUUCGGAUCGUAAAACUCUGUUAUUAGGGAAGAACAAAUGUGUAAGUAACUAUGCACGUCUUGACGGUACCUAAUCAGAAAGCCACGGCUAACUACGUG